UAGUCUUUUUACCACAAGUGAUGAUGUGCCAUGUGAAUGUCCCACUUUUUUUUGUUUAAAUUGAUUUAAAUAUAUAAUAAAAUAUUAAAAUAAUGUAAUUACUUAUUCAAUUAAAAAAUAUAUAGAAAAAUGGAAAAAUUAAUAAAUAAAAAUCUUUUUUCUCUAUGCUUUAAGACAAAAACCUACCUAGAUCCAACUCUCCCCAAAGAUCAAUCUCUAUCCCCCAAAGAAUGGCCUUAUCCUUCCUCAUUUCUCCUCUCUCUGCAACCAACCACCGUAACAUCAAUUAUAACCACACCCCCAUCCCCACCAACCAUACCAUCAGAGGACCCGCACUACAUGAUCGAGCUUGAGACGUUGACGCCCCAGUGAACAUAAACCCCUCGACGCUGGGGACAACAGAGUUGUCGUCGUGGGCGUGGAUACAUGAAACGGAGCCAGAGUGCUUGAUCCAGAGGGUUUUCUAACUUUUGUUUUGAAUUAUUGUUUAAAAAGCUAGUGAUUUAGGUCUGUCCAUUUGAUUUAAAGUAAAAAUGUUUCAAUUUAGGUAUACAAUGAGGGAAUUUUGGGUUUGAAUUUGAGGAUUGAAGGUUGGGAUUUGGAGAUGAUUAGAUUGGAGACGGUGCCUGAGAAAACCCAGAAAUGCUUUGGUGGAGUGAAAGAGAAAAUGGCCAACAACAAGAAGAGGAAGGCCAAAGGAAGGCGCAAGAGGAGUAACAAGUGUUUGGCUCUCAAGAAAGUGAAGGAAUUGUCAUUUGCUUCUAUGUUUAGAAUUUUCGAGAGAUUCUUGUCUUGCUCUGCUAGUGUAGAUGUUUUGAAUUAAGUUUCUUAAUUAAGUUUUUUUCAUUUAUAAUCCAAACAGUAUGGUUGUUGUUUGUGCUUUUUGUUUAUGUAAUUUUGUGUUAGAUAUAUAAAAGCUAAGAAAGGGAAGAGAAAAUAGGGCCCCAUA